rnacentral:rRNA from 1 species
AUCUUAAAUUAUAACAAUUUCCCACCUAAAAACUAAAAGUUAUGUUCUUAAAAUUUAAAGGAUUUGGCGGUAAUUUAGUCCAGUUAGAGGAACCUGUCCGAUAAACGAUAAACCACGUAAAAUCUUUCCCCGCCCCAAAGCUUGUAUACCGUCAUUAUUAGGUAACUCUAAAAAGAAAAGUUACUUUAAUUUACAAACUACCUUUGUUCAGUAUAUUAGAUCAAGGUGCAGCCUAUGGCAGGGUCAGGAUGGGUUACAAUAAAACUUAUUUAAAAUGGAUAAAAAAUUGAAAGUAUUUUUUUAAAGGAGGAUUUAAUAGUAAGGUUGUUUUAAUAAGUCAACCUGAUAAAGGAUCUAAAUUGAGUACAUAUCGCCCGUCGCUUCCGUCUACAAACGGAAUAAGUCGUAACAUAG